UACGGGGGGAGCAAGCGUUGUUCGGAUUUACUGGGCGUAAAGGGCGCGUAGGCGCCACCGCAAGUCAGUUGUGAAAUCUCUGGGCUUAACCCAGAACGGUCAGCUGAUACUGCGGGGCUAGAGUGCAGAAGGGGCAACUGGAAUUCUCGGUGUAGCGGUGAAAUGCGUAGAUAUCGAGAGGAACACCUGCGGCGAAGGCGGGUUGCUGGGCUGACACUGACGCUGACAGCGCGAAAGCUAGGGGAGCGAACGGG
rnacentral:rRNA from 1 species